AGCUAAGAAUUUUGGUUUUUAUUUGUCCCCUUAUUUGCUUCAAAAUAUAUUUCGCCCGUGUGUUCAUUGAGCUGACGUGUGUAUAUCUAAUUUUACAAAAUUUAUAGCCUGAACGUAAAUUUAUGUUUAUAAUAAAACGAAUUGUUAACGCAAUGGCCAAAAUCAUUGUUAUUUAUUUUAGUCAAAUUAGAAGUAGUUCAACUACAAUCCAGCACUGGCCCGGGACCAAUGCUUUUGCAACACUUGAUCUGGCGUGCCUGGCAGAAAUCAAAACAAACGCACAACACAACACCCAGGCACACACAUACACACGCAUACAUACGAAGAGCACAAAGAGCAGACAACAAAAUAGCGUUGUGUUUUUCGUAAAAUGUCGUUUAUUUGGUGGCGGUUACUCGGGUUGCCAAACAAAAGGCAGGGCAACGCACCUCUGAGAUAUCAUACUUGGUUAGUCGCCUACAUGUGCAAAUGUACGGGCCAACAACCACUGUUUGCCUAGGACAAAUCUGGACCCAGGAGGUAGAAUAGCAAUACCACCAGGUAGUAAAGCAGUAAUCCUAAAAA